AGGAGGGGGUGUUGGUGAUUGUGCUUGAAAUUGGGAAGCCUUCGAACGGAUCCCAUAGGUCGAGGGAGAAUGGGUCAAAGAUGUUGCUCCUGCGACCACCGAAGAAGCUUGGAAUCAGAGACAUUUUCUGGGGACUUUGUUGUUUGAAGAAGACAAAAGAUGUACUGUUACAGAGCUUGAAUUUUUCUUUGAUUGUAGCGUUUGAUAAUUUGUUGUUGAUGAAUGAGAGGAGAUGCCGUGAUAUUUAUAGGCGAUGAACCAUGAAACUUAAGUAAUUGGAGUGUAAUCUAGGAUGUUCUCAGAGUAUUCGACGAUAUUCUUCAAUAAGCUAUCCAAUUCGAGGCUAAUCUUCGAUGUUCUUCGGUUUAACUUUCAUUAAUAGAAGAAAUAAGAAGCUUCUACAGUAUUCGAGGGAAUUUUUCUAAAAGGGUCAUGCACAUUAUUGUUCGUCAAGUCAUAAUUUCAAGGGUAAGGUAUAAUGGGUAAAUAAUUUUGAAAUAAAAUGAAGAGUAAAUACAUAAUAAUUACCCACUGAUGUUGGUCGAGAUUUUUAAAAAGACACUUAAACUUUGAAUUCGACCCAUUAUCCUAUGAUUCUUACUUAAUUUAUUGCAAACACACUAUUUUUCGCUGAAUUUUAGUCACAACAAGGAGAGUGAAAUACAUGCGUCAAUCAGAUGCCACCACAUGUCAAAUAUGUUUAAUUUAUAUUUUUAUUAUUAUUUUAAUAAAAUUUUAUUUUUUAUUUAAUUUAAUACCCCACCCCAAAAUCAAUUCAAAAAAUAAUUUUAUAAUUAAAUUGAGAGUUUUAUGAUUGAAUUUAGUUUUAAAGAUAGUUAAAUGAUAUGAUUUAACUGAAAAAUUGAGCUUUAAUGAUAUGAUUUUAAUAAAAAAAAAGCUUCAAUGGAGGAACUUUAAUGAUGAUAUUGUGUUGAAGAGCUUUAAUGGUGUUGAAGAAGAUAUUAUGUUGAAGAAGAAAUGGUGGAUAGUUAAAUGAUAUGAUUUAAUUGUAAAAUGGAGCUUUAAUGAAUGAUUUAAAAAAAUUAUGAAAAGUUUCAAUGGAAGCUUUAAUGGUGAGUUGAGUUAAAGAAGAAAGAGUGGGUGGUUGGAGGGCGGAGAGGGGGUAGGGAUAAUUUUUAAAAAUAAAUAAAUAUUAUUUUUUUUUAAAAAAUAUAAAUUAUAUAUUAAAUUAUUUUACACAUGACAGCUUUUAAUUGGUCAAAAAUGUCAAAUUCAAGCCAUUUCACGCGCCUGUGGUGCAUGUAUACACGUAGAGGGUCAAAAUGGUGUGUUUGCAACGAAAUAAAGAAGAAUCAUGGGGUAAUUAAUCGAAGUUAAAGUUUAGGUAUCUUUUUGUAAAUCUCGGACAAGAGAAGGAGGUAAUUAUGUAUUUACUCUAAAAUGAAAGAUUAAUACAUCCUUGACUACAUAUCUACAUGUUUCAUUAUUUACAUAUUGAAAAUGAUGGUGUUUGUAACUUUUCACAACAUCAUUUAGCAAAAAGUACCUGCACAGUACCAAAUGAUUAAUAUUUGUCUCAUAAAGAGGAAAGAAAAAGCAAGGGCAUAUUGAUAGAUGAGAUUUCCGACAAAUAAGAAACCAAAUCAUUACUAUCACAUGAACCUUAAGUUGUUGCAAUUAAGAGUUCGGAACUAAAGUAUGCCAUGCAACUAAAAAAAGAAUCAUUCUAUGUCAUAUAAAAAAAGUAUUAAAAUAGGUUUUGUGCACUUAUUAAGUGCACAAUGCCUUUCUAUUUUAACGGUAAAUCCAUUCACAGUAUCAGAGAAAGUCAAACUUAGUCAUUUUUUAUGAAUUGUGCACUUAUUAAGUGCACAAUUCAUUUUUUUAUGAAUUAUGCACUAAAUAAGUGCACAAUUCUUAUUAAAAUAGAUUGUGCACUUAUUAAGUGCACAAUGUUUUUUAAAUAAACUGUACACUUAUUAAGUGCACAAUGUUUAUUCACUUUUUACGCAUGACAUUUUCAUUUAAUUUGUUUAUUUAUUUAUUUAUUUAUUUAUUUUUUGAUUGUGCACUUUUUUAGUGCACAAUUCAUUUAUUUAUAUUGUUCACUUUUUUGUACAAUCAAUGGAUUGUUGUGAUUUUGGACUUGUUGAAGAAGAUUAACAAACAACAAAAGGAGCUGAAGGCCAAAAGGAUCUUAAAGCUAAUUUUAAGCAUUAGUGUGAUAUGUAAUCUGAUGAUGUUCAUUUACCUUUUGUGCCAUUGAAAGAGAAUUGUCUAUGUAUGAUGUUUUAUUUUGACGAAUAUAAUAGUAUUUCUCUGUUAAAGUACAAAUACUCUUAACACGAAAAUUUUUAUGGUAGAUGAGGUGCGCCAUGUCAUAUUUAUGUGAGGCUUUUCAUUAUUUGACAAGUGCACAUUGUGGGUCCCGUGUAAUUAUUAUCCUUUUCACUUUUUAUUGAAAUGUCAUGCUUUUUUAUUUUUUAAUUUAUUUACACAAAAUCAAAUAACAUGAAUAAAAUAGGGUGAAAAAAUUAUCAUACAAUUUUUUCUUUUUUAUUAAUAUAAAUUAUCUAACUUUAAAGUUUAUCACACAUAAAUUAUUAUUUUUUUUAUUUUUCAUAUAAAAAAUCAUCCAUUUUAAAAUUAUCACAGUAAUCUUUUUUUCUAAUUUUUAAAUGGCAAUGAAAUGAUAUAAUAAAAUUAUUUAUCAUUAUUUUAUUCAAUAAAAUUAUUUAGAUUAAUAGAUUUAUCUCACGAAGUAACAAUAGAAUUAAAACCCACACUUAGAAAAUAGGAUAGUUUGUAAUUAGCAUCCUUAAUAUAUGUGCAUUUUUUUUAAUUACACUUUAUUUUAUUUUUAAUGUCUUGGCCCUUAAAAUCUCAUUAAAUUCCUACAAAAUUAUAAUUAAUCUCAUUUUAAUUGUUACAAAGACAAAAAAAAAAGGAAAAAAUAGAAUUAAGAAGAAAAAAUAAUAAUAGCCUUUCAAUAUUGAUUCAUACCUCCAGUGAAUUUAUCUUGAAUGACUUUCAAGCCGUCUUUGCUUCUUUAAAUAAUCAAAUUUAAUAUUUCAAAAGUAUAUUUAUUGAAAUUAUUUAUUAGUUUAGUUUGGUUUAUAUUAAAAUCAUGUGUUUUAUUUUUGUUUUUUCAUCCGGUGUCCGAUACCCGCAUUGGAGUACGACUAAUGCUGAUUCGCGCCGCGUAGUGUCCCAUUCGGGGGGAAGCGCACCUUACCAAGAAUUUUUUCAUACCUAGGGCUCAAACCCGAGACCUCUGGUUAAAGGAGGAGCAGCCCCAUCCGCUGUAUCACAUCAUUUGGUGGUAUUAAAAUAUGUGGUUGUAUUAUGGUGAAACUGUUUAGUUUGAAAGCUUAUAACAAUUAUUAUUAUUAUUAUUAUUAUUAUUUAUGCUUUUUAUUUUAUUUUAUGUUUUUAAAGGGUAAUUUAUUUUAUUAUUAUUAUUAUUAUUGUAUUUUAAAUAAAUUGCCCUUUUAAAAUAUAAAAUAAAAUAAAAACUAUAUAUGCUUAUAACAAAUUAUCGUAUUCAUACUAUAAUUUUUUUACAUACAAAUACAUAUUUAUAAUAAUAAACAUUUUAAAUGUCAGCCGUAAAAAGUGAAUAGAGAUUGUGCACUUAAUAAGUGCACAAUCUAUUUAAAAAAUGUUGUGCACAAUCUAUUUUAAAAAAAAUUGUGCACUUUAGUGCACAAUUCAUAAAAAAAAAUGAAUUAUGCACUUAAUAAGUGCACAAUCCAUUAAAAAAUGGAUUGUGCACUUAAAAAUUGCACAAUCUAAGCGUGACCUUCUCUGACGCCGCGAAUGGAUUUGCUGUUAAAAUAAAAAGGCAUUGUGCACUUAAUAAGUGCACAAAGCCUAUUUUAGUAUUUUUUUUUAUAUGACAUAAAAUAAUACUUUUUUUAGUUGUAGGACAUAUUUGGUUUCGGACUCUGCACUUAACUAUAUUUCAUUCUUUUAUAUCAAAUACCUUCGUAGUAUUUAUUGGAAGAGUUCGUUGUGAUGGGAAAAAUACUUUCAUAGUAAGAAAAUCUAGAAAGUACAAACAUGUACUCAAACUAACUUAAAUAAAGUAGAAACAAUUAGAUUAGCUAAAUUAGAAUAUCAUGUAAUGUUGAAAACAUACUGAAAGACAUUCGAGAAGCUAACAUCGACAAGGAAUUAAGCCACUUUUACGUCCAAAACUCUCAUGUUCUCGAUCUUUCUAUUGCAGAAAAUCAACCUGAAAAAUUUAAAAGUAAAUUAUUAUUAUUAUUAUUAUUAUUAUUUAUUAUUAUUAUUAUUAUUAUUAUUAUUAUUAUUAUUAUUAUUUCAUUUCUAAUUCUUUAUUCCAUUUUUGAGAAGAGAAAAACUAAAUUAUAAAGUUGAAGGUUGUUGCCCUUCAAAUUAAAUAAUCUAUAGCCAAUAUAAUCUGGAAAACCUCUAUUUAGAAAGGGAAAAAAAUGAACAUUGAUAUACAUUUAAUAAAGCAAUGGAAAGUUGGACAUUAACCUCCUAGAAAUACUCACUGCAUCUUUUAAAAACCUUAAAUCAGAAACUAUCAAAUCUUUGUUUUUAUUAACAACAGGGACUUCCCCCAAUUCUUGUAGAAAACUUGAGACACAUAAAAUGUGAUUCUAAUGCUUAUUCAUCUCUUGAUUUUUCCAUCAUUAUUUAAAUAUCUACAACAAUAAUAUACUGGUAUAAUUUUAUUGGUGGGGUUUAGGGAGAGUAAAGUGUACACAGAUCUUACCCCUAUAAUUCGUAAAGAUAAGAGAAGUUGUUUCUGAUAGACCCUCAGCUGAAGUGAAGUAUCUCAAAGCAAUUUGAAAAGGGAAAUAUGGAAAUAGAAAUAGUAACAUCAACACUAUAUAUGAAUGCAUGGAGCGGAAUUUACCUUACUGUUUGCCUUUGCAUACGCAAUCAGCUGCUAAGUGUCUGACUCAAGAAUGCCAUCAACUAUAGUAGCCACGCCUCUAAUGAUUGCUUGUUUAAGAGCAGAUAUGGAGGAUGCAACAACAUUGCAUUGAGUUAAGAAAUUAACGAUCAGACAGAUUGUCUUUCAAGAGAUGACGGAGGGCUUGUCACACUACCAACCUUCUGAAAGAUACAAAGCUUAUAAAUACAUCAGUAGUGGGAUGUGCAACACAGCCAGCUUCAACUCUGUAUAACAGGACGGACAACAUUAGUUCAUAUAUCGUUUUGGACACACAACCAAUUGACAUACAUGGACAAAUUGAUUUAUAAUUAAGCCCUAUGUGCUAUAAUGUUGAGUCAAGAUGCUCCGCCUUUUCUAUAGAAGCAGUCAACUGAGUUCUAAACGAAUUAGCUUCUGGCCAUAUUACGCCUGUUGGGUUCAAUAUGUAUGGAAGAAGUGUGAAUAGAAAAUGGAGAGAAAAAGGAUGGAGGGAAGGAAACACUAAUUUAGAAAGUGUACUCUCAAAUUGAAAAGUUCACUAAAUCUCCCACAUUGGUGGGAGAAGAGAACUUUGGAGUAUUUUUAAUAAAGAAUACUUACUCUACAUAGAUAGUGAGGCAAGAACAAGGUGGUGCUUCGUGUUGUUGUCGUCGCUCGGCUCGACUUUGAAUUUGGAUUGAUGGAAUCUAUUAUUUUGGACAAAAUUUAUUUGAUCAAAAUCUGAUCCGAAUAUUCUAAAGGAAAAAUGACAGAAAUGCAGAAAAUUUUUUUGUGUUUUAUCCUCCAUUUAUAUGCAUGUAUACAGUGAACUGAUGCAUUAUUUCGAACUGAACUGAUGCAAUGUUAUGAACUGAUGCUUCAAAAAGAUGCAACCAUUCAGUAAAAAUGAUACACUGAUUCAUGGAAAGGUAUGCUUGUUCGGAAAAGAUACACUGUUUGGACGAAUAGACAUGAUUUUUCAGGAAAGGUUACACCUUUUUAAAUAAACCAUUGCCACUUUUCAGAAGAGGCCAGUUAUGACUAUAUAAACCUGCUUUCAUCCAUAGGUUUAGACAUGAAAAUUUUUUUGAAACAAAAACUCUUCUUGUUUUCAAAUAUUUUGUGUGAUCAAUCAAACUGUUGAGUGAGUUCGUAGAAUCCGUCAAUUUGAGGUACCGUUAUUGUUCGGAUUGAAGUCCAUUUUAUCCUGGGAGGAAGAUUCCAUAACCUCGGGUACAGUGAGGAGAAUUAUUCCAUAAGGACAUUCCAUGAAGUCGGGGGACUUGAUCUAAAUUUCUGUUUCAUCUUUUUCUGAAUAUUAACACACUUCUAAGAUAGAUUAUUCAUAAUCUAGUGUUGAAGGUGUGAAGAAACUUCAUAAGUUCUUGUCUUGAACUUGAACUUUCUUUGAAGUUUCUGUUGCUUAUAUAUAGAUUCUUGUACCCGAAUACAUACAAAAUAACAAUCUUAAGGAAUAAUUCAGAAUCUGUAUUACUUGUUUUUGAAGAUUAAAUCUUUAAACUUUCUACUCCGUUUGAAUUUAACUAGUGAUUAGAAGACAUAAAAUCUUUAUCACAAGUUUAAAAUUCACUCGGUUGACAAUUGGAAGUCAUUAAAACUUCAUUGUUAACUAGAAACAAGAAGAAGAGUUUAAGUUUCUUAACUUUAUAAGUAGUAUUCUGAAAAUACUAAAUAUUAUUGUCUUGUGGUGACAGGAAAAAUAACUAAUGAAAGCCAAAUGCAAGAUGCGGCUACGACUGUGGGGGCAACUAGCAUUGCUUCAACAAGUCGAGCAAAUGCUCCGCAACCAAUGGCACCUGCGGAGAAGCCUGGAAAAUUUACGGGCGUUGACUUUAAGCGAUGGCAGCAAAAAAUGUUCUUUUACCUCACCACUCUAUGCCUUUAAAGGUUCACUAGUGAAGAUGCUCCUGAGGUGCUCGAGGGAACCUCGGACAAAGAGCAUUUCAUGAUUGUAGAAGCUUGAAAAUACUCAGACUUUCUUUGUAGGAAUUAUAUAUUAAGUGGUCUCCAAGACGACCUCUACAAUGUUUACAGUGGAACUAAGACACCGAAGAAAUUGUGGGGGGCACUAGAUCGAAAAUACAAGACAUAGGAUGCGGAAAUUAAGAAAUUCUUUGUUGCAAGGUUCUUGGACUUUAAAAUGAUAUAGAGCAAAUCGGUUGUCUCUCAAGUGCAGGAAUUGCAAGUAAUCAUCCAUGAUCUUCUAGCGGAAGGUUUGAUUGUGAAUGAUGCUUUCCAAGUAGGAUCGAUAAUUGAGAAGCUACCACCAAUGUGGAAGACUUCAAAAACUGCUUGAAGCAUAAAAGCAAGGAGAUGACUGUUGAAGAUCUUAUUAACCGACUGCGUAUUGAAGAGGAUAAUAAAGCUACCGAGAGAAGGUCAAAAGGGAAUUCUGCAAUUAAUGGAGCACAUAUUAUGGAAGAUGACCAAAAUAAUUCUGAGAAAAGGAAGAAAGUUGAACAAGGAAGCAAUCAACCGAAGAAGAAAUUCAAGGAAAAAUGCUUCAAUUGUGGCAAGAUUGGCCAUAAGUCCACGGAUUGUCGAACCCCAAAGAAAGGCAAGAAAAAGGAUCAAGCAAAUAUGAUUGAAUCCAACAAAGAAUGCGAUGAUCUGUGUGCUAUGUUUUCAGAAUACAACUUGGUGGGAAAUCCUCGCGAAUGAUGGAUGGAUUCUGGUGCCACCCGCCAUGUAUGUGCAACAAAGAGUUGUUUUCGUCAUUUGUUCUGGCUCAAGUAGAAGAAAUAAUCUACAUGGCUAACUUCGCUACUGCUAAGGUAGAAGGAACAGGAAAAAUGUGCUUGAAAAUGACUUCAGGAAAAGUUUUGACACUUAACAAUGUCUUGUAUGUUUCAGAGUUACGUAGAAAUUUAAUUUCUGUUUCACUUCUAGACAAGAACGGAUUCAAAUGUGUAACCGUUUCUAGUAAAAUUAUAAUUAGCAAAGGAGAAAUGUAUGUAGGAAAAUGCUAUCUCACCGAGGGCCUUUAUAAGAUGAAUGUAAUGAAUGUUGAAAUAAAUAAAAGUUCAAAUUCUUCUUAUUUUCUUGAGUCUUAUGAUUUAUGGCAUGAACAUUUAGGCAAUGUUAAUUAUAAAACGCUACAAAAACUGAUUAACUUAGAAGUUCUGCCGAACUUUGAGUGCAAUAAAUCAAAGUGUCAACAUGUGUGGAAUCAAAGUAUGCAAAACAUCCUUAUAAGUCUGUUGAAAGGAAUUUCAAUCCCUUAGACUUAGUACACACUGACAUUUGAGAUAUGAAGUCAACACCAUCACGUGGUGGAAAAAAGUAUUUCAUAACUUUUUUUGACAAUUGCACUAGAUAUUGUUAUGUCUAUUUGCUAAAUAGUAAGGAUGAAGAAAUGGGUACGUUUAGGAAAUACAAAAUUGAAGUUGAAAAUCAGUUAGAUAAAAAGAUAAAAAUAAUAAGAAGUGAUAGGGGCAGAGAAUAUAAAUCUCCUUUCGCCGAAAUAUGUGUAGAGAAUGGAAUUGUCUAUCAAACUACGGCCCCGUAUUCACCUCAAUCUAAUGGAAUUGCGGAAAGAAAGAAACAAAUUUUGAAGGAAAUGAUGAAUGCCUUGCUUAUAAGUUUUGGUUUACCGUAAAACUUGUGGGAGGAGACUAUCCUUACAGUCAAUCGUAUACUCAAUACAGUUCCCCAUAGUAAGACACAGUCAAUUUCUUAUGAAAAAUGGAAAGGAAGGAAACCCAACUUGAAAUAUUUCAAAGUGUGGGGUUGUCUAGCAAAGGUCCAAGUUUCUAUGCCUAAGAGGGUUAAGAUAGAACCUAAACUGUGGACUGUGUGCUCAUAGGAUAUGCUAAAAGCAGUAAAGCAUGUCGAUUUUUGGUUCAUAAAUCCAAACAUCCGGAUAUAAAUAAAAAUACGGUAAUUGAAUCAGAUAAUGUUGAAUUCUUUGAAAAUAUUUACCUGUAUAAAACUAGACAUGAACAUUCUAGUGGAGGGUCUAAAUAACCUCGAGAUGAACCAAGUGAGAAUAUGCAUAAUGAAGAGAAUCCAAGAUGUAGUACACGUCGAAGAACUUCUACUACGUUUGGAUCAGAUUUUGUAACUUUUCUCUUAGAAAAUGAGCCUCAAACAUUUAAAUAAGCGGUGUCGACAUCAGACUCAUCCUUUUGGAAAGAGGCAGUCAAUAGUAAGAUUAAUUCAAUCUUAAGCAAUCAUACUUGAAAAUUGGUUGAUUUUCCUCCCGAAAAUAAAUAUUUAGGUUCUAAAUAGAUCUUCAAAAGGAAGAUGAAAGCGGAUGGUACUAUUGACAAAUACAAGGCAAAACUUGUAGUAAAAGGCUUCAAACAAAAAGAAGGUCUUGAUUACUUUGAUAUAUACUUGCCAGUAACAAGGAUAAAAUCAAUUCGAAUGUUAAUUGCCUUAGCUGCGGUAUUUGAUCUUGAAAUUCAUCAAAUGGAUGUGAAAAUCGCUUGCCUAAAUGGAGAAUUGGAGGAAGAAAUUUACAUGGAACAACCUGAGGAUUUUAUGGUUCCAGGAAAGGAAAACAAGGUGUGUAAACUUAUUAAGUCAUUGUAUGGACUAAAGCAAGCACCAAAAUAAUGGCAUGCGAAGUUUGACCAAACCAUGUUGGCAAACAGAUUUAAAAUAAAUGAAUGUGAUAAAUGUGUUUAUAUUAAAGACACUCCAAAUCACCAAGUCAUUGUAUGUUUAUAUGUGGAUGAUAUGUUGAUCAUCAGCAGAGACAUUUCUGACAUAAAUGCAGUUAAAUGAAUGCUCGAGAGCAAGUUUGAUAUGAAAGAACUUGGAGUUGCAGAUGUGAUCUUAGGUAUAAGAAUCCAUCGAACUCCAUAAGGGUUGGCAUUGUCACAGUCUUAUUAUAUCAAAAAUAUACUUGACAAGUUCAAGUAUAUGGAAUUCGGUAUUGCCAAGACUCCAUUGGAUGUGAGCUUUGUACUUCGAAAGAAUGAAGGUGAAAGUGACUCACAAUUGGAGUACGCAAGAGUAUUGGGAUGUUUAUUGUAUACAAUGAAUUGUACACGAUCAAACAUAGCAUGCGCUAUUAGUAAAUUGAGUCGGUACACAAGUAAUCCCAACAAAACUCAUUGGAUGGAAAUGAAAAGAGUGUUGGGGUAUCUUAAAUACACUCAAGAUUAUGCCUUGCAUUAUAAUAAAUAUCCUGCGGUACUUGAAGAAUAUAGUGAUGGAAAUUGGAUCACUGGAUCGGAUGAAGUAAAAUCCAUAAGUGGAUAUUUAUUUACUAUCGGAGGAGGAGUAGUCUCUUGGAAAUCAUCCAAACAGACUUGUAUUGCUCGUUCUACAAUGGAAUCUGAAUUUAUCACAUUGGAUAAAGCCGGUGAAGAAGCAAAAUGGCUUCGAAAUUUCUUGGAAGACAUUCCGUAUUAGCCCAAAUCAGUGGCACCAGUAUGUAUACACUGUGAUAGCCAAGCGACAAUAGGUAGUGUAGGGAGUAUGAUGUAUAACGAUAAAUCUCGUCAAAUACGAGGGAGACAUAAUACCGUUAGAGAACUUCUCUCUAGUGGAAUUAUCAUUAUUGACUACGUAAAGUCAAAGGAUAAUGUUUUGGAUUGACUUACGAAAGGUCUAUCUAGAGAAGGAGUGGAAAGGACAUCCAAGGGAAUGGGUUUAAAGCCUAGGACAAGUCAGCAUGGCGGUAACUCUACCUAGCAGACUGGAGAUCCCAAGAGCUAGGUUAAAGGAGAUCAAACAAAGUUGUGUCUGACAGGUUCAACAUUGUCAAUUACCCAACCCAUUCUCAUGAUGUAGACAAUGUUUAGUAAACAAGGAUAAGACUUAAGGUUAAAAGUCUUUUAAUGAUUAUCUAAAUUUGGCAGAUUUGACCAAAUAGUUUAAUCUAUAGGAUUGAACAUUUAGAAAUCACCUAAGUAAGGACGAAGUGGAAGCUGCUUCAAAGAGAAUGUUAGUAAAGGCCCAUUCUCUAAGCUCUCAUGAAACUGGGACGUGUUCAUGGCUGAAAAAAAUAAAACUGUGAGAACCAUAAACGGUAAAAGGCUGGUUAUGUGACACGUGUUGUCUAGGUGUACAUUAAAGCUCGAUGGUUCAAAGAUAUCAAAUUUGCUAAUUGACCGAGUGCAUCCGAUGCAUGUUCACUACGGAAAGGUCAAAGAAAAACCAACUUAUGCAGAUGCAAUCAGUCUUUACUUGAUGAUCACAUACUUGUCCGUAAAAAUUUUAUGAAAAAUAGCCAUUCCUCAUUCAUGUGGGGAAUUGUUGGGUUCAAUAUGUAUGAAAGAAGUGUGAAUGGAAAAUGGAGAGAAAAAUGAUGGAGGGAAGGAGACACUAAUUUAGAAAGUGUACUCCCAAAUUGGAAAGUUCACUAAAUCUGCCAUAUUGGUGGGAGAAGAAAACUUUGGAGUGUUUUUAAUAAUGAAUACUUACUCCACAUGGAUAGUGAGGCAAGAAAAAGGUGGUGCCUCGCGCCGUCGUCGACGUCGCUCGCUCGGCUCGGCUUCAGCUUCGGCCUCAACUUUGGCGUCGGAUUUGGAUUUGGAUUUGGAUGAAAAUGGAGAGAAAAAUGGUGGAGGGAAGGAGACACUAAUUUACAAAGUGUACUCCCAAAUUGAAAAGUUCACUAAAUCUCUCACAUUGGUGGGAGAAGAGAACUUUGGAGUGUUUUUAAUAAUGAAUACUUACUCCACAUGGAUAGUGAGGCAAGAACAAGGUGGUGCCUCGAGCUGUCGUCGUCGCUCGCUCGACUCGACUUCGGCUUCGACUUUGGAUUUGUCAAAUGAUCGAUCAAUGAGAUCUAUCUAAUCUUUUUGGACAAAAUUUAUUUUAUCAAAAUCUGAUCCGAAUAUACCAAAGAAAAAAUGACAGAAACGCAGAAAAUUUUUCUGUGUGAUCAAUCAAACUGUUGAGUGAUUUCGUAGAGUCCAUCAAUUUGAGGUACCGCUAUUGUUCGGAUUGAAGGCCAUUUUAUCCUGGGAGAAAGAUUCCAUAACCUCGGGUACAGUGAGGGGAAUUAUUCCUUAAGAACACUUCGUGAAGUCGGAGGACUUGGUAUAAAUUUUUGUUUCAUCUUUUUCUGAAUAUUAAAACACUUCUAAGAUAGAUUGUUCAUAAUCUAGUGUUGAAGGUGUUAAGAAACUUCAUAAGUUCUUGUCUUGAACUUGAACUUUCUUUGAAGUUUCUGUUGCUUAUAUAUAGAUUCUUGUACCCAAAUACAUACAAAAUAACAAUGCCUACCACUCCCUUCUCUUUACCUGAUACAAGGCAGUCGAAGUACGCACCACCCUGUAGAUAUGAAUGGCGCGAAGGAAAGGUGCAAAUUAUCAUCUGAUGCAUUUGCUAGACAUCAAAAAAGGAAUUAACUUAUACUAUCGUGUAAAAGUUGUUUAUACUAUUAGACGUAAUUUAACCUGUUAUAACAAAUUACCUACUUUAUUUUACAGGUCACUACUUCCAUUUACUAUGUGAAGUUACAUAUUGCUAUCUUUUAGGUGUGUAAUACUAUUAAUGCAUAUGAGUUAAUUAAAGAAAAGGUCAUAUAAGCUAACGAAAUACUUUUUACACUGAUGCAAUUCAAUCGAUUGUAGUAGGUUUCAUCACCGUAAUAUUUAGGUUAUCAUAUUAGACUUGAUACGAAGAGUUACCAAUUAUUGCGAAUUAUGGUGUUCAGACACUUCAAAAAGGUAGUCACACCCGCGUCGGAUCCUCCAAAAUACAUUAUUUUUGGAGGAUUUAAAAAGCACAUUUUGAUGUUUUUAAAGAUUCCAAGCAACAUAAGUUGUAAUUCAAUAGUAUCUAAUGGUCUAAAAAAAGCAUACGUAGUCAGUGCACAAAACUUAAGCUCGGAGAAUAAAAUGACUUACUUCAUUUGCUUGGUUUGGACAAGCUUGCCAGCAGUAGAAAUAUCAGCAUCAAGUUCUUCAUUUUGGUAGAAAAGUUUAGGAUCAUUUACCAUAUCCAAUUUUCUCUUCUUGUAAGCAGCAACACAAACUUGCAAUAACCUAGUAAAAGGGCUACCAGCAGGAUCCAAAUUUCUAUACAAAGGGUAUCCAAAUAUGAACACAACAAUUGAAAUAAGCAUAGCAAUUAUUGGUACAACAAAUCCAAUGCUCCAUCCAAUAUUAUCUUGAAUGUAAACAAUUAUCGUGACAGCAACAAGCAUUGAAAAUCCCAUUGGCCUGAUUUUGCUUCUUUUUCAUUGAAAAUCCCAUUGGCUUGAUUUUGCUUCUUUUUUCAUGAGCUAUUUACUCAUUCUUCUUUUACUCUGAGUUUGAAAUUGUUAUUUUAUGGUGUUUUCGGGUACAAGAAUCUGUAUUUAGGCACAACUUCAACACUAGUUCAAAUUUAAAACAAGAACCCUAUAAAGUACAAAAACACCCUCAACACAAGAUCGAAGUGAUCUUUCUAAGAAGUGUGUUUUAGUUUUUCAGAAAUUAAGAUGAAAUAGAAAUAUAAAGCCAAGUCCCCCGACUUCAUGGAGUGUCCUUAAGAAAUAAUUUUCCUCACUGUAUCCGAGGUUUUGGAAUCUUCCUCCAAGGAUAAAAUGACUUUCAAUCCAACUAUAGUGGUACCUCAAAUAAUUGAAUUUGUCGAACUCACCCAACGAUUUGAUUGAUCACAAAGAAUGUUUUGAAUACAAGAAGAGUUUUUAUUCCAUAAAAUUUUUCAUUCAUUUCUAAACCUGUAGAUGAAAGCAGGUUUAUACAACCAACAAAUACCUUUUCUGAAAGAUAACAAUGGUUUACUUAAAAGGUGUAUCCUUUGGAAGAGUCAUGUUUGUUCAUUUGAAACAUUGUAUCUUUUUCUGAACAGACACAAUUAUCUGAACAGUCACACCUUUUUCAAAAUAAGAUAUCUUUUGCUCAAAGGUUGUGUCCCUCUAUUUUCCAUUCACACCAAUUAAACCAAACAAUCCCCCAUAUGAAUGGGGAAUGACUAUUCUUUGUAAAACUUUACAAAAAAGUAUGUGAUCAUCGAACAAAGAUUGAUUGCGUCUGGAUAAGUGGGUUUUCCUUUGAACUUUUCGUAGUGAACAUGCAUCGGAUGCACUCGGUCAAUAGGUAGAUUUGAUAUCUUUGAGCCGUCGAGCUUUAAUGUACACCUAGACAACACAUGUCACACAGCCUUUUACCAUUUAUGGUUCUCAUGGUUUUGUUUUUUUCAGCCAUGAACACGUCUUGCUUUCAUGAGAUCUUAGAGAAUAGACCUUUACUAACAUUCUCCUUGAAGCGGCUACCACUUUGCCCUCACAUAGGUGAUUUCUAAACGUUCAAUCCUAUAGAUUAAACUAUUUGAACAAAUAUUCCAAAUUUAGAUAAUCAUUAAAAGAAUUUUCACUUUAAGUCUUAUCCUUAUCUACUAAACAUUAUCUACAUCAUGAGAAUGGAUUGGAUAAUUGACAAUGUUGAACCUGUCUGACACAACUUUGUUUGAUCUCAUUGAACUUAGCUCUUGGAAUCUCCAGUUUACUAGGUAGAGUUACCGCCAUGCUGACUUGUCCUAGGACUUAAACCCAUUCCUUUGGAUGUGCUUUCCACUCCUUCUCUAGAUGGGUCUUUUGUAAGUGGAUCCGACACAUUAUCCUUUGACUUUACAUAGUCAACAGUGAUAAUUCCACUAGAGAGAAGUUCCCUAACGGUAUUAUGUCUCCGUCGUAUGUGACAAGAUUUACCGUUGUACAUUAUGAUUCCUGCCCUACCUAUUGCCGCUUGGCUAUCAUAGUGUAUACAUACUAGUGUCACUGGUUUGGGAAAAUAACAAAUAUCUUCCAAGAAAUUCUGGAGCCAUUCUGCUUCUUCAACGGUUUUAUCCAAUGCGAUAAAUUCAGAUUCUAUGUAGAGCGAGUAAUACAAGUCUGUUUGGAUGAGUUCCAAGAGACCGCUCCUCCACCGAUAGUAAAUACAUAUCCACUUGUGGAUUUUACUUCGUUCGAUCCGGUGAUUCAAUUUGCAUCACUAUAUCCUUUGAGUACCGCGGGAUAUUUAUUAUAAUGCAAGGCAUAGUCUUGAGUGUAUUUAAGAUACCCCAAAACUCUUUUCAUUGCCACCCAACGAGUUUUGUUGGGAUUACUCAUUUACCGACUCAAUUUACUAAUAACGCAUGCUAUAUCUGGUUAUGUACAGUUCAUAGUAUACAUUGAACAUCCCAAUAUUCUUGUAUACUCCAAUUGUGAGUCACUUUUACCUUUAUUCUUUCGAAGUGCAAAGCUCACAUCCAAUGGAGUCUUGGCAGUACCGAAUUCCAUAUACUUGAAUUUGUCAAGUACCUUUUAGAUAUAAUGAGACUGUGACAAUGCCAACCCUUGUGGAGUUCUAUGGAUUCUUAUACCUAAGAUCACAUCCGUAACUCCAAGGUCUUUCAUAUCGAACUUGCUCUAGAGCAUUCGUUUCGUUGCAUUUAUGUCAGAAAUGUCUCUACUGAUAAUCAACAUAUCAUCUACAUAUAAACACACAAUGACUUGAUGAUUUGGAGUUUCUUUAAUAUAAACACAUUUAUCACAUUCACUUAUUUUGAACCCGUUUGCCAACAUGGUUUAGUCAAACUUCGCAUGUCAUUGUUUAGGUGCUUGCUUUAGUCCAUACAAUGAAUUAAUAAGUUUACAAACCUUAUUCUCCUUUCCUGGAACCACAAAACCCUCAGGUUGUUUCAUGUAAAUUUGUUCCUCCAAUUCUCCAUUUAGAAAUACGUUUUCACAUCCAUUUGAUGGAUUUCAAGACCAUAUACUGUUGCCAAGGCAAUUAACAUUCGAAUCGAUGUUAUCCUUGUUACUGUCGAGUAUGUAUCAAAGUAAUCAAGACCUUCUUUUUUCUUGAAGCCUUUUACUACAAGUCUUGCCUUGAAUUUGUCAAUAGUACCAUCCGCUUUUAUUUUCCUUUUAAAGAUCCAUUAGAACCUAAAGGUUUAUUUUCUGGAGGAAGAUCAACCAAUUCCCACAUAUGUUUGCUUAAGAUUGAAUCAAUCUCACUAGUGACUAUCUUUUUCUAAAAGGAUGAGUUUGACGACGACAUCACUUCUUUAAAUGUUUGAGACUUAUUUUUUAAGAAAAAUAUUACAAAAUCUGAUCCAAAUGUAGUAGAAGUUCUUUGAUGUGUACUACGUCUUGGAUUCUCUUCAUUAUGUAUAUUCUCACUUGGUUCAUAUCGAGGUCGUUUAGACCCUCCACAAGACUGUUCAUGUCUAGUUUUAUACGGGUAAAUGUUUUCAAAGAAUUCAACAUUAUCUUAUUCAAUUACUGUAUUUUCAUUUAUAUCCUGAUGUUUGAAUUUAUGAACCAAAAACCGACAUGCUUUACUGCUUUUAGCAUAUCCUAUGAAUACGCAGUCCAUAGUCUUAGGUCCUAUCUUAACCCUCUUAGGCAUAGGAGCUUUAACCUUUUCUAGACACCUCUACACGUUGAAAUAUUUCAAGUUGAGUUUUCUUCCUUUCCAUUUUCAUAAGGAAUUGAUUGUGUCUUGCUAUGAAGAACUCUAUUGAGUAUAUGGCUGUAAGGAUAGCCUUCCCCCACAAGUUUUGUGGUAAACCAAAACAUAUAAGCAAGACAUUCAUCAUUUCUUUUAAAGUUUGAUUUUUUCCGCAAUUUUGUUAGAUUGAGGUGAAUACAGGGCCUUAGUUUGAUGGAAAAUUCCAUUCUCUACACAUAUUUUGGCGAAGGGAGAUACAUAUUCUCCGCCCCUAUCACUUCUUAUCAUUUUUAUCUUUUUCUCUAACUGAUUUUCUACUUCAGUUUUGUAUUGCCUAAAUGCAUAUAUUGCUUCAUACUUACUAUUUAGCAAAUAGACAUAACAAUAUCUAGUGCAAUUGUCAAUAAAAGUUAUGAAAUACUUUUUCUCACCACAUGAUGGUGUGACUUCAUAUCACAAAUGUCAGUGUGUACUAAGUCUAAAGGAUUGAAAUUCCUUUCAACGGACUUAUAAGGAUGCUUUGCAUACUUUGAUUCCACACACGUUUGACACUUUGAUUUAUUGCACUCAAAGUUUCGCAAAACUUCUGAGUUAAUCAACUUUUGUAACAUUUUUUAAUUAACAUGACCUAGACGUUCAUACCAUAAAUUAUAAGACUCAAGCAAGUAAGAAGAAUUUGAACUUUUAUUUAUUUCAACAUUCAUUACAUUCAUCUUAUAAAGGCCCUCGGUGAGAUAGUCUUUUCCUACAUACACUUCUCCUUUUCUAAUUACAGUUUUUUCUGAAACGAUUACACAUUUGAAUCCGUUCUUUUCUAGAAGUGAAACAAAAAUUAAGUUCCUAUGUAAUUUCAAAAUGUACAAAACAUUGUUAAUUGUCAACACCUUUUCUGAAGUCAUUUUCAAGCCCACUUUUCCUGUUCCUUCUACCUUAGCCGUAGUGGAGUUAGCCAGGUAGAUUAUUUCUUCCACUUGAGCCAGAGCAAAUGACGAAAAUAACUCUUUGUUGGCACAAACAUGGCGGGUGGUACCAAAAUCCAUCCACCACUUGGGAGGAUUCCCCACCAAGUUGCAUUCUGAAAGCAUAGCACACAGAUUAUCACAUUCUUUGUUGGACUCAAUCAUAUUUGCUUGGUCCUUUUUCUUGCCUUUCUUAGGGGCACGAUAAUUUGUGGACUUAUGGCCAAUCUUGCCACAGUUGAAACACUUUCUCUUGAAUUUCUUCUUGGGUUGAUGGCUUCCUUGUUCAACUUUCUUCCUUUUCUUAGAAUUGUUUUGGUCAUCUUCUACAAUAUGUGCCCCAUUAAUUGUAGAAUUCUCUUUUGACCUUCUCUCGGCAGCCUUGUUAUCCUCUUCAAUACGUAGUCGGACAAUAUGAUCUUCGAUAUCCAUAUUCUUGCGUUUGUGCUUUAAGUAGUUUUUGAAGUCUUUCCAUAUAGGUGGUAGCUUCUUAAUGAUCGUUGCUACUUGAAAUGCAUCAUUCACAAUCAAACCUACAAAACAGUUUAUGUGAGUACUAAGAACAUUUUCAAUUUGUUUAACUAAGGUAUUUUUCAAAGAUAUACCUUCUGCUAGGAGAUCGUGAAUGAUUACUUGCAAUUCCUGCACUUGAGAGACAACCAAUUUGCUAUCUAUCAUUUUAAAGUCUAACAACCUUACAACAAAGAAUUUCUUAAUUCCCGCAUCCUCUGUCUUAUAUUUUCAUUCUAGUGACCCCCACAAUUCGUUUAAUGUCUUAGUUCUACUAUAAAUAUUAUAGAGGUCGUCUUGGAGACCACUCAAUAUAUAAUUCCUGCAAUGGAAGUCUGAGUGUUUCCAAGAUUCUACAAUCAUGAAAUGCUCUUUGUCUGAGGUUUCCUCGGGCACCUCAGGAGCAUCCUUAGUAGUGAACCUUUAAAGGCAUAGAUUGGUGAGGUAAAAGAACAUCUUUUGCUGCCAUCGCUUAAAGUCAAUGCCCAAAAAUUUUCUGGACUUCUCCGCAGGUGCCAUUGGCUGCAGAGCAUUUGCUUGACUUGUUGAAGCAAUGCUAGUUACCCCCACAGUCGUAGCCGCAUCUUGCAUUUGACUUUCGUUAGUCAUUUUAUUGUCACCACAAGACAAUAAAAUUUAGUAUUUUCAUAAUACUAUUUAUAAAGAUAAGCAACUUUAAACUUUUCUUCUUGUUUCUAGUUAAUGAUGAAGUUUUUAUGACUUCCAAUCGUCAACCGAAUGAUCUUUAACUUGUGAUGAAGAUUUUCUGUCUUCGAAUUACUAGUUAAGUUCAAAUGGAGUACAAAGCUUAAAGCUUUAAUCUCUAAAAACAAGCAAUACAGAUUCUGCAAAAAAUUAUUUCUUAAGAUUGUUAUUUUAUGGUGUUUUCAAGUACGGGAAUUUGUAUUUAGGCACAACAACUUCAACACUAGUUCAAGUUUAAAACAAGAACACUAUGAAGUACAAAAACACAAGAUCAAAGUGAUCUUUCGAAGAAGUGUGUUUUAUUUUUUCAGAAAUUAAGAUGAAACAGAAAUAUAAAGCCAAGUCCCCCGACUUCACGGAGUGUCCUUAAGAAAUAAUUUCCCUCAUUGUACGCGAGGUUUUGGAAUCUUCAUCCCAGGAUAAAAUGACUUUCAAUCCAACUAUAGUGGUACCUCAAAUAAUUGGAUUUGUCGAACUCACUCAACGAUUUGAUUGAUCACAAUGAAUGUUUUGAAGACAAGAAGAGUUUUUAUUCAAGAAAAUUUUUCAUUCAUUUCUAAACCUGUAGAUGAAAGCAGGUUUAUAUAGCCAUCAGAUGCCUCUUCUGAAAGGUGGCAAUGAUUCACUUAAAAGGUGUAUCCUUUGGAAGAGUCAUAUCUAUUCAUUCAAAACAUUAUGUCUUUUUCUGAACAGACACAACUAUCUGAAUAAUCACACCUUUUCCAUACAUAAUAUAUUUUUUGCUCAAAGGUUGUGUCCCUCCAUUUUCCAUUCACACCAAUUAAACCCAACAGAAACAAAUGAAAUCUCACCAUCUUAGUGUGACUGCAUGUUGUUGAAGAGUUUUUCAUUGAAUGAAAAAACGGAUAGGUGACCUCAUCUUAUGGCCUUGGAUAACCUUAACCUUCUGAGCUAACUUUUGGAGUUAAGAUAACUUUAAGAUCUACUAUUUCUUUUUCGAAUAAUGCCAACCAACUCGACCAAGACAUUUAUAUGAAAAAGAUAAAAAAAAAAAAGAUGUGUUAAGUUAGUGUUUUCCCAGCCGACUCGCACACCACCAUCUUUUUUUAGAUUGAAGAAGUAUCAAGAGAAGGUCCACCUCAUCUAAUAUUUAUCGAUAAGUGGGCUUCCCAUAUCAACUUAUUCACUCUCCAAAUAUCCAACCAUGAGUAAGAUCUAUUUCUUAAUACUGGCAACAAGUAUCGAUUGACUUUUACUUUAAUCAUAAGAUUAGAUUCAGUGCCAGACUCUAUGCAUUGUGUUACCACUUAGCAGAGUGCUGUGUUUUUAAUGAACGAUCGAUCGCUACCCCCUGAGUCGCAAUUGACCAUUUCAAUAGACAUAUAGGCAAGGAAACUUCAGUAUGUAUACUUUUCUGUUGAACAUGAGACAACUUGCUUGGGUGUCGAAGAAAGAGAGCCAAAGGGCUAGAUAGAGAGAGGAGAGGGUACUCAAUACUCACCAUUGGCUCUUCACUCCUGUUUUCAAUUAGCAAAAUUAAGAGAGACAUAUCAACAAUUUCAAUACUGUAAAAUAGUUCAAAAUCCUGAAUUUUGCACUGCAUGUAAAAAAGAAAUUCAAAAAUUUAAUCAGUACAAUGAGGUCGGAAAAAAAAUCUCAACAAUGGUUGAUCUAAAAGUUAAUGAACAAAGGAAAAGAGACAUGGCAAAACAAUAAUAGCAAUUUGCCUGAAUUGUACUGGAAUAGAAAAAUUGAAAAGAGGGGAAGAGUCUUAAAACAAAAGAACUUUAUUAUGCAUUCUAACGCUAUAUUCAAAUAUUCUUCCUUCUAAUUAAAAUAGUUGAAGGAUGAAAUUAACAAACAAUGAGAAAACUCGGAAAGAAAGCAGACCAAGAAUUUGAAAUAUGAAAAAGAAUCAAAAACAUGCAAAAUUAAACUGACCGGACGCUAGAAGCCUAAAACCAAGCAAUCCUAGUAGCAGGUUUGAGCAAACAAUUGAUUAAAUGAUAGGGAGAUCCAGCAAAAUUGUUUGAGCAAAAAACAAAGAAAAAGGAGAGCAACCAAAUGAACAGAUGGAGAUCAGAUCGGUGAAAGGAUGGAUGGUAUGGAUAAACGUGGUAAAUUUAGUGCAGGUUGAAUGACACAUAAGGAAAGUAGAGGUGAAGACGAAAAUGCCCUUAGUGCUUAAACAAGCAUGUUGAAACAUAGCCUUUCCUAAUAUAGUAGUAAUAAUAAUAAUCAAUGGCGGAUGUAGAGUAGAAGGUGUGGGUUCCCGGGAACCCACACCCGCUACCGUAAGACUUAAAAUUACAUAAAAAAAUCGUCAAAAGUUAUAAAUAUUAAUAGGUGGGAACCCAUAACUAAACCAAGGGAUAACUUAGUGACAGGAAAGGAGCCCUUGUGAACCCACAAGUUUAUAAUUCUGGAUCCGCCUCUGAUAAUAAUUGAGGAGCUCCUAGGUUGAAAAUCACCAAAACAAAAAAUAGUAUUUACUACUUACCAUAAACGAAGAAAAGGAUAAAUAUAUCCUCAUAACUAUAGUAGGUAUAGGUCAUUUGUUAUAUUUUGAGUACAUAUAUAUUCUUAUCAUUAAUAAAAUAGUACGUAUAUGUUCCUCAGAUUAAUGUCAAAGGCAUAUAUGUAUCCAAAGUAUGACGGUGAUCAUAUGCAUAUCAUGUACCAUAGUUCAAUGGUAUAUUUAUCUCCUUUUCGUUUUAAUUUUUGUAACCCCAAUAAUUAACGGAAACCUACUAUCCAACUCAAUAGAAUCACUAUCCGAUCUUGUCUCAAUUAAAAUUAAAGGAACACCUAACAUAUGCAUUUUUCUCACUCUUGUAACAAUAUAUACACAUAAGCCAGUAACACGCACUACUAUCAAUUUUAAAAAAGAAAUCAUUAACUUGUAACACCUAAAAACAACAUCCAAUAAAUUCAUGUCUCAAUUUUUCAGCGAAAUUUCAUCGAAAAAAUACAAUCCACCACCGGUCAGCACCAUAUAGCCACCGUCUAUGUCGAAUAAAAAAACAUGCAUUGGCGAACCACAUCGCACCGCUAGCUCCAACCACCUUCGACCUAAUCUCCACUCCCUCCAACCCGCAAACACCAACGAAUAGCAUUGAUCAAUCACUGUAAUUUGAUUGUGCUUCAAGUUUAAAAGAAAAAUAGAGAGAGUAUUGAAUUUGAAACAAAAAUAGAAAUUGGAUCGAGUUGGUCUGCAAAGGUUCAAUGGGUUUAUUGAGUUGAAUAGGGAGUUUGAAUUAAUUAUUUUAAAUAAAAAAUUAAACGAAAAAGAAACAAAUAUAUCCCAGAAUUAUGAUAAAUAAUACGUAUAAAUAAUACGUAUAUACUCUACAUUAUACUUUGUGUACAUAUAUGUCCCUACCGUUAGUGUCAGAGAUAUACAUAUAAUUUCAUUAACGAAUAUAUACGUAUCAUUUAUCAUAAUCCCAAUAUAUAUUUACUCUUUUUCCGUACAAUAAAUAAGGAACACAAACUAACCGUCCACCCUGGAAAGUCUACCAAGGUACUACUACCAAUUACUAACAAGACAAGGAGUGGUAUUUGUUAUAGUUUGAGGCUUAGCUUUACUAGCCGAAGCUCCUGGACUCAAAAUCUAUCUUCCAAGACCCACAUCCUCAUUUCGUUGUCUCCGUCAAUCAGCCAUUAGCGUAUGUAAUUAAUUUGCGUAGUGGCAUGUUCGUAUCAGUGGUGAAACCGAGAUAUUUACUAAGGAGUUCAUAAGUGAACAAAUGAAUUAACCAAAGAUGGUCAACAUCUAAUAUAUAUACAUAAAAUUUAAUUUUAAUCAUGUAUAUAUAGCAUAAUUUUUUGUCGAUCUGAACCCCCUCGGCAAAGGGUAGAUCCGCCACUGGUUCGUAUAUUUUACGCGGACCCUUAAUGAGUCUAAGAUUAGAUAUUUGGUUUCAUCAACACAUUCUUCGUACAGACUGCAAAUAAAGAAAAACGGAGAAUGAAAUUGGCAAGCUUGUGACGUGACUAUAUGAAAGCAGUAAUGGUCCUGCAAGUGAAGUGAUGAAGCGGAUGAUUUCAUAAACUUCAAAAGAAAAAAAGACAGAGAAAUAAUACUGGAUAAUGUCAUUACAUAAGCACGGGAAACAAUCCCUAAGAUCGAAUACAUUUGAUUAUAUCAGAGUUCAGUAAGUGCUGAAGCCAAGUUGAAAUUAUAUGCCCCGUAUUGCAUAAAGCAUAUAAAGCUGAAAUGCGUUUAAGAUAUACAAUCCACUUGUUGCUAAUCUUACAUCCAAAACCUUUAUGUAGAUUUGAAUACCAAAAUCAAAACUUCCAAAACCUUUAUGUAGAUUUGACCAUAAAAGAAUAAUCUUCAUAGGUUAAGAUUCCUUUUUAGAAGUUUUGAUAAAAUAAAGAAAAAAACCGCACUCUCCCUUAGGAGCGGAGCCAGCCUCAGAAAAAUAUAUUAUUUAUACGUGAUUAAAAUUCAUUUUUAUAUGAUUAUAGUAAAUGUUAAACUCCCUUUAACUAAGUUUUCUUUGAAUAUAAAACCCUUAGUUAAAAUCCUAAUUUUUUUAAUUUUUUUUUUGAAUAUGAAUCUCCUUCAUUAAAAUCCUGAUUCCGCCUCUGCUCUCCCUAGUUAAAAAACAUCACCCAAUCUAGAGCCUAAUUACAAAAAAAAAUAGUGUUCUUCUAUGCUUCCCUUUAGAUCUACGCUUCCCUUCAGAUUAUUUAAGAAAGUGAGGACUAAUCAAAUCAAUUAUCUCAAGGAACUCAACACGCUUCUUUCCAUCAAAAAUCUCAUCACAAAUUAUGACCUCCUUGUUUUGAGGAUCCUAUAAAGGCCCGUAAAAGAAAGAGUCGGCAGCGCAAAGAGUGGAGAUACGCUAUCAGAAAGCAUUCCCUUCUUUUCACCAACCUCUCGGAUAAACCAUAGAGAGCAUCAUGUUAGAUAUCAACACUAGAAAGCUAAAGCCAGAUUACACACCCAACACAAUGCAACAAAAGAUUUGACAUACUAAUUACAGUACUACAUAGACCGGUAGAAGACAGCAGUCCAAAUGCGCUAAGCAUUCCAAAACUUCCAAUAGAUACUUAAGAUGGCAUCUAGGUAGACAAAGGUAGCAAAUCAGAAGCAUGCAAAAAGCCAGCAAUUGUGGCAAAGAACAUAGAUUAGAACCAGUAUAUUCUUUCUCAACAUAUAUACCACUAGAUAAAAUUUCCGGUGUUAAAGUAAGCAUAUCGAAUGAAAAUAACAAAUUUACAUCUUUGUUCAUAGAAGAGACGAAAUGAAGCUCAACCCACGAAAACAUUAAAGAUCAAUCGAACAACUACAAACAUGUAAAAGAAAAAACUGCAUCAAUAGCCAUUUCAGAUAAGAGUGAGCAACUACUUCAGUCAAAUGUUAAAAUUUAUGCCACAUGGAAAGGAUGUUGCAACAAGGUUUCACCGGGAUUCGCUUUAAAGGAGAGUGAAAAUUAGGGGCCAGAAAAACUCAAGACAUACUAAUUCAAGGGAAGGAAAAGAGAACCAGAAAUCUUAAAUAAAUGUAAAGGAAAUUAUUCAUUAAUCAAGCUCAUACAACAAUUUCUUGUUUACAACUACAAAGCCAAGACCCACAACUUAGAUAAUUACACACACACAAUUCAGAUUACACCAAACACAAUAGACAAAGGACUUUCAACAAAAACAGCUGAUCUGCAUGCACUUGUUUAACCAGAUAUGUCAAUUGCCUUGACCUCAGGUUUCUUCUCCUCUUCUUUCGGAACUGUUACAGUGAGCACUCCAUCCUCCAUAGCUGCCUUAAUUUCCCCUGUUUUCGUAUUCUCCGGCAGCCUAAAUCUCCUCAAAAACUUGCCACUGCUCCUCUCCAUACGGUGCCACUGAUCAUUCUUCUCCUCUUGCUCUCUGCUCCUCUCACCGCUUAUCUGUAGUAUCCUUCCUUCUUCAACUUCGACUUUCACUUCCUCUCUCUUGAUCCCCGGAACGUCUACUUUGAAGAUGUGCGCUUGUGGGGUCUCUUUCCAAUCGAUUCUUGCAUUUGCGAAAGCAGAGGUUUCACGAGCAGAGGAGGGGGUGUUGGCGAUUGUGCUUGAAAUUGGGAAGCCUUCGAACGGAUCCCAUAAGUCGAGGGAGAAUGGGUCGAAGAUGUUGCUCCUGCGACCACCGAAGAAGCUUGGAAUCAGAGACAUUUUUUGGGGACUUUGUCGUUUGAAGAAGACAAAAGAUGAACUAUUACAGAGCUUGAAUUUUUCUUUGAUUGUAGCGUUUAAUAAUUUGCUGAUGACCAAUGAGAGAAGAUGUCGUGAUAUUUAUAGGCGAUGAUGAACCAAGAAACUUAAUGUAAUUGGAGUGUAAUCUAGGAUGUUCUCAGAGUAUUCGACGAUAUUCCCCACAAAGCUAUCAAAUUCGAGGCUAAUCUAGGAUGUUCGUCGGUUGAUUUUUGAUAAGAGAAAUAAGAAGCUUCUACACUAUUCCAGAUAUUUUUUCUGAAGGGUCACUGCACAUUUUUGCUCGUGAAGUCAUAAGGUCGAUUGUAUUCGUCUUAAAUUAAAAAUGGAACGAAAGAAAUAUAUAAUGACUUGACGCUCUUACUAUAUUCGGACUUGUUUCGUCAAUUUGGAUCCUUCUAUUCAUUACAUUGCCAAUUCAAUUCUUAAAUUCAACAAAAUCACAUAUGUAAGCAAAUUAAAAUAAAGAGAUUAAUUUUAGAAAAAAUUACAGAAAUUAGUAUCCUUAAGAUUAUAAUUACAAUAAAUAGCAACACUUUUUUAAAAUUAUAACUAGCAAAAGUAGCAAUAUUUUACUUAUUUCAUAGUAAUAGAACAAUAUGUAUUUUUCAAUUGUGCAUAUAUAUUUAUGAGUAAUAUAUAUAUAUUUGUAUAUGUAUUUAUAUAGCAACAUUUUACUUAAAUACAAAUACAAUUUACUAUUUUUCGUAAUUAUAAAACUGUUGCUAUAAAAGUUAUAAUUAAGGUUUAGAGUUACUAUUUCUGAAACACUUCCAUUAUAGGAGCUCUUAGAUUGAGUUGAAAAUCACCAAAACAAUCUGGCAGCUCAUAAUCGAUAUGUCUAUUUCAUUUAAUUCAAUCAUACUUUUAUUAUAUUAUUUUUAAUUAAUUAUUAUAAAUUAUUUAUAUAUUCAAAAUUAAUAAUAUUUAAUGAAAAAAUAAAAUAGACAUAUAUAACAUAUUUGUUUCUUCAAUUGUAAUUUUAUUAUAUCACUCCUAACUAAGUAUUAUAAGUCAUCUAUAUAUUAAAAAAUAAUAAUAUUUUAUAAAAUAUAAAAUAAACAUAAAAUAAUAAAUUAAUGUUUGAUGUUUUAAAUUAAAUUGACGUCUUAUAUUGAAUCCACUUAAAUUUUUUUCACAAGUAUUUAAUUUUUUUUAUAUCAUUUGUAACUAAUUAUUAUAAUAAUUUAAAACAUAUCUAAUUCGCUGCUUUAAUCGUGAUUUUACUAUAUCAUCCCCUAAUUAAUUAUUAUAAAUUAUUUAAGUAUUAAAAAAUUAAUAUAAUUUCAUAGAAAAAGUAAAAUAUACACAAAAUAAAAGUUAACUCUUAAUAUCUUAAAUUAACGUGUCGACUUAAAUAAGAUUCAUUUAAUUUUUUUUAUAAAUAUUUUUUAUAAUAGUUUUUUAUAUUACUUUUAAUUAGUUAUUAUAAUUCAAUUAAAUAUUAAAAAAUAAAUACUAAUAUUUAAUAACUGACACAAAAUAGAUAUAAAAUACUCCCUCCAUUUUAUUUUACGUGUCAUAAUUUGACUAAGGAUGGAGUCUAAAAAAUAAAAAAAGACUAUGAUUUUUUUAUCAAAUUGUCUUCUAUUAAAAAAAAUGUACUACUAGUAUCUUUAAUUAAGUGGAACCUCAUAAGUUGUACCAAUAAAGAUAAAAGUGAAAUUGUAUCUUUAAAUAAUUAUUAAAUAAGAAAAUAUGCAUUCUUUUUUAUAUAGACCCAAAAAAAAAAUAACGAAACAUAAAAUAGGAUGGAAGGAGUAACAAAUUAAAAAUGAUUGAAUGAAGUAUUUUGCAACGGUAAUAUCUGUGUCAAAAACGACUUACUAAUAUCUAAAUGAUUAAAUUUAAACAAAAUAUUAAAUACAUAGUUGCGAAUUAAGAACUGAAUUAUCAAAAUUUAUUUUUUAUUAGACAUAAAUGAAGCAUAAAAUACGUAAAUAAGGGAAUUAAUUUUUUGUUACUAUUUUAUCAUUUCAAUUCACUUGACAACAUUUAAUCAAGCAUGGAGUAGAAAAAUAAAAUGCUUUUGAAAUUCGUAAAUAAAUAAACGUUAAAUUUUUUACGAUCAUAAAAUAUUUUAUCAAAAAAUAAAACAAAAAUUGUAAAAAUAAAUUGUUUCUUCUCAUCACUCACUACAUGCCACUAUUUACUUACAAUAAAUAGAAAUUAUGUUAGGAACACAAAAUAACCGUCCACCAUGAGAAGUCCAACAAGGUACUACAACCAAAUACCGAACAAAUAGUAGUAGUAUUUGUUAUAGCUCUCGAGGCUUGAGCAUUUCUAGCUGAAGCUCCUGGACUCAAAAUCUACCUUCCUAGACCCACAUCCUCAUUUCGCGGUCUCCGAUUUUGUAAUCCAAAUUUAGUUGAUUCGAUUCUGAAAAGAUCGCGGUGCAACUCACGGUUGAAAUUUUUUGAGGGAUCUGUGAUGGUAGUGUAUUAUAGAAGUGCGACUUAAAGGAUUGAUUUUAAUAUAAUAGUUCUCGUGUGUUAUUAAGAACUUUUACUCCUCCCACUCUUCGAUAUAAUGAAUUCCUCCUCCUCUCUAUGAUUUUUCUCAUCAAAGAUUUUCACUUAAAUCUAUGUGUAUUCAUCUUAUUUUUCUUUUGCUUAUCAUAUUGCUUAUUUAUGUUUGAUUUCAUAUUACUUAAUUUGCAUAGUGGCAUGUUCGUAUAUUUUACACGGACCCUUCAUGAGUCUUGAGAUUUGGAUAUCUUCAAACAAACAGACACUGCAAUAGAGAAAAACGGCAAGCUAGUAACGUGACUAUAUGAAAGCAGUAUUAGACCUGCAAGAAAAGUGAAGGAGCUGAUGAUUCCACAAACUUCAUAAAAACAAAGAAAUAAUACUGAAUAGAUUCACUACAUUUGGCCAUGUCAGAGCUGCAGCCAAGUAGAAGUUGUACUAAAUAUGCCCCACAACAACUCACUUGGCUACUAAUUCUGCAAUCCAAAAACCGUCACACAUAUAAAUCCGAUUACCAAAAUCAAAACUUUAACAGGAAAGUAAUCCUAUAGGUUAAGGCUCCUCCAAAGAAGUUCAGAUAAACUUGUUGUCUUUCACAAGAAUAUGUAAUUUAACACAAUAACUUUAAUAUUAAUUCAAGUUUAAAACAAUAACAUUAUAGAGUUAAUCUUUUUAAGAAAUAUAUAUUUUUUCAGAAAUUUAGAUGAAAUAAAAAUAUAAAGCCAAAUCCCCUAACUUCACAGAAGUUCCUUAAAAAAUAAUUCCCUUCAUUUUAUCCAAAAUUUUUUUAGAAUCUUCCUUAAAAUGACUUUCAAUUCACUGUACCCAAAGUUUUAGAAUCUUCCAAUUAUAAUAAUACCUCAGAUAAUUAAAUUCGUCAAACUCAGCGAUUUGAUUGAUCACAACAAAUAUUUUGAAGACAAAAAGUUUGUAUUUCAGAAAAAAAAAAAUUCCUACCAAAAUCUGUUGAUAAAUGCAGAUUUAUAUAAUCAUCAAAUGCCCCUUCCAAAAAAUGAUAAUGAUUCAUCAAACAAUGUGUAUCCUUUAAAAAAUCAUGUCUGUUCAUUCAAAACAUUUUUUUUUAAACAGACACAACUAUCUGAACAAUUAUUCUUUUACAAAAGAAUUGUGUCCCUUUAUUUUUUAUUCACACCAAUUAAACCCAACAAAACCAACAAAACUAAAUUAACAAAGCACCCUUCACCCAAGUAAAUAUUAUCAGCCAAUUUAGAGCCUAAUUUAGAAAAAAAAAAAAAAAAAAAAAAAAGGAAGGUGCUCCUGCGACGCUUCCCUUUAGAUUCGUCCCUUUAGAUCAUUUUAAGGAAGUAAGGACUAAUCAAACUUAUCAACCCAACAAUAUAUAGAUAGGUGUUAACUCCAUAAUAAAAGAACAAGUAGGAUAAUGCAAUUAGAAAGAGUUGGCAACGCAAACAGUGGAGAUGCACCAGCAGAAAGCAUUCCCUUCUUUUCACUGACCUCCCCAGAUAAAUUAUAGAGAUAACAUCAUGUUAAAUAAAUAUCAACACUAGAAAGCUAAAGCCAGAUUACACACCCAAUACAAAGCUACAAAAGAUUUGACAUACUAAUUACACUAAAUAGACCGAUAGAAGACAGCAGACCAAAUGCACCAAGCAUUCCAAACUUCCAAUAGAUGCUUAGGAUGGCAUGGCAUCUAGGUAGACAAAGGCAGCAAAUCAGAAGCACGCUAAAAGCCAGCAAUUGUAGCAUAGAAUAGAUUAUAUUCUCUCUCGACAUACUACUAGAUAAAAUAUCUAUCAAAUUAAAAGAACAGUCCAGCGUACUAGUAAAUAUAUCAACUAUAACUUACAAAAUCAUAAAAGUCGCACAAUAAUUUCAUUGAAGCUUGAUACUUCGUAAGUGAAUGAAAUUAGACAAACAUAUAUCUUUGUUUAUAGAAGAGAAGAGUAUGAAAUGAAGCUCAACACACAAACAUGACAAAGAUCAAUCGAACAACUACAAACAUGUGGAGAGUGAGCAACAACUUUAGUCAAAAACAUACAAAUGCAAGGAAGGAAAAAGAGAAACAACAAUUUAAAAUAAAUGCUAAAAGGAAAUUAUUCAUUAAUCAAACUCUCACAACAUUUUCUUGUUUACAACUCCAAAGCCAAGACCCACAACUUAGACAAUUACACAGACACAUAAUUCAGAUUACACCAAACAUAACUUACUAAGGACUUUAAAACAACAGUUGAUCUGCAUGGACUUGUUUAACCAGAGAUAUCAAUUGCCUUCACCUCAGAUCUCUUCUCCUCUUCUUUAGGAACAGUUACAGUGAGCACUCCAUUCUCCAUAGCUGCUUUAAUUUCCCCCAUCUUCGUAUUCUCCGGCAGCCUAAAUCUCCUCAAAAACUUGCCACUGCUCCUCUCCAUACGGUGCCACUGAUCAUUCUUCUCCUCCUGCUCUCUGCUCCUCUCACCGCUUAUCUGUAAUAUCCUUCCUUCUUCAACUUCGACUUUCACUUCCUCUUUCUUGAUCCCCGGCACGUCUACUUUGAAGAUGUGAGCUUGUGGGGUCUCCUUCCAAUCGAUUCUUGCAUUUGCGAAAGCAGAGGUUUCACGAGCAGAGGAGGGGGUGUUGGCGAUUGUGCUUGAAAUUGGGAAGCCCUCGAACGGAUCCCAUAGGUCGAGGGAGACUGGGUCGAAGAUGUUGCUCCUGCGACCACCGAAGAAGCUUGGAAUCAGAGACAUUUUUUGGGGCUUUGUUGUUUGAAGGAAACAGAAGAACGUUUAAUAAAAAGCUUGAACGAAUAUUUCUUUGAUUGUAGCGUUUGAUAUGCUUGAAAAUUACUUGGUGAAGACGAAUUAGAAGUGGUGUCGUGGUUUUUAUAGGCAAUGAAUGGAGAGAUUUAUGCGAUGGGAGUGUAAAAAA
rnacentral:lncRNA from 1 species